AGSMUUSGGCYAACUUCCGUGCCAGCAGMCSCGRUWAUWCGRAGGWUSCCAGCSUUAYCCGGAUUUCMUUGGUUUAAAGGGUGGUAGGCGGCUCUUWARUCAGUGKKRAAUCCUGCCRSUUAACCGUAGAAUURCCAUURAUACURAAARGUUGAGUWCCAGUUGAGGUAGGCGGAAUGUGUAGUGUAGCGGUGAAAUGCUUAGAUAUUACACAGAACACCGAUUGCGAAGGCAGCUUWMUAAAAYUGUUUACUGACGCUAWUGCACGAAAAGCGUGGGGGAGCRAACAGGAUUUAGAUACCCUGGWAGUCCACRCCCRUAAAACGAUGCUCACUCGCUGUAUGCGAUACACAGUWUGCGGCCAAGCGAAAGCAUUAAGUGAGCCACCUGGGGAGUACGAUCGCAAGGUUGAAACUCAAAGGAAUUGACGGGGGCCCGCACAAGCGGAGGAACAUGUGGUUUAAUUCGAUGAUACGCGAGGAACCUUACCUGGACUUAAAUGUAGAGCGACAGAUUGUGAAAGCAGUCCUUCUUCGGACGAUCUACAAGGUGMUGCAUGGUUGUCGUCAGCUCGUGCCGUGAGGUGUCGGGUUAAGUCCCAUAACGAGCGCAACCCUUAUCGUUAGUUGCCAGCGGGUCAAGCCGGGGACUCUAGCGAGACUGCCACCGUAAGGUGUGAGGAAGGUGGGGAUGACGUCAAAUCAGCACGGCCCUUAUGUCCAGGGCUACACACGUGUUACAAUGGCCGAUACAAAGGGCAGCUACCAGGUGACUGGAUGCUAAUCUCUAAAGUCGGUCUCAGUUCGGAUCGAAGUCUGCAACCCGACUUCGUGAAGCUGGAUUCGCUAGUAAUCGCGCAUCAGCCAUGGCGCGGUGAAUACGUUCCCGGGCCUUGUACACACCGCCCGUCAAACAAUGGAAGCUGGGGGUACCUGAAGUCUGUAACCGCAAGGAGCGGCCUAGGGUAAAACUAGUAACUGGUGUUAKGUCGUAACAAGGUAGC
rnacentral:rRNA from 1 species